UGGGACCCCUAAUGAUCCCAUGGAUGUGGCGAAAGCUGAACAAAAAG
ncrna:Methanobacterium formicicum DSM 3637 eL15-Euryarchaeota ribosomal protein leader